rnacentral:rRNA from 1 species
UGGGGAAUCUUGCGCAAUGGGCGAAAGCCUGACGCAGCCAUGCCGUCGUGUAUGAUGAAGGUCUUAGGAUUGUAAAAUACUUUCACCGGUGAAGAUAAUGACUGUAGCCGGAGAAGAAGCCCCGGCUAACUUCGUG